UGGGGAAUUUUGGACAAUGGGCGCAAGCCUGAUCCAGCCAUGCCGCGUGCAGGAUGAAGGCCUUCGGGUUGUAAACUGCUUUUGUACGGAACGAAAAAGCUAUUUCUAAUACCAGGGGGU
rnacentral:rRNA from 1 species